rnacentral:rRNA from 1 species
UACGAAGGGGGCUAGCGUUGCUCGGAAUCACUGGGCGUAAAGGGUGCGUAGGCGGGUCUUUAAGUCAGGGGUGAAAUCCUGGAGCUCAACUCCAGAACUGCCUUUGAUACUGAAGAUCUUGAGUUCGGGAGAGGUGAGUGGAACUGCGAGUGUAGAGGUGAAAUUCGUAGAUAUUCGGAGAACACCAGUGGCGAAGGCGGCUCACUGGUCCGUACUGACGCUGAGGUGCGAAAGCGUGGGGAGCAAACAGG